rnacentral:pre_miRNA from 1 species
AUGUGGGACUUUUCGGAUUUCGAGAUUCAAACAAGUCUAUCUUUGACCGUAAAUUUUUCAUAGACUUUUUAAACAUUUUGAAUUAUUAAUUAUUGUGACUUAUAGUACUUUUUACGUAGAUUACAAAUAUAUACAUUUCAUUUCAUAAAAUUUGAAGAUUUCAUGCGCAAAUUUCUGGUCAAACUUAAACUGUUUGACUCUCGAAAAACGAAAAGUGUCACAUAA